rfam:Ciona savignyi cont_32235, whole genome shotgun sequence.
ACUGGGUUGGCCGAGUGGUUAAGGCGUUGGACUUAAGUUCCAAUGGUCAAGUGUCCGCGUGGGUUAGAACCCCACACCCAGUA